UGAGGAAUCUUGCGCAAUGGGGGAAACCCUGACGCAGCAACGCCGCGUGAGUGAGGAAGGCCUUCGGGUCGUAAAGCUCUGUCGGGUGGAAAGAAACGCAUAGGUGCUAAUACCAUCUGUGCUUGACGGUACCGCCAAAGGAAGCACCGGCUAACUCCGUGCCAGCAGCCGCGGUAAUACGGGGGGUGCAAGCGUUGUUCGGAAUCAUUGGGCGUAAAGAGCGUGUAGGCGGCUGGAUAAGUCAGAUGUGAAAGCCCUGGGCUCAACCCAGGAAGUGCAUUUGAUACUGUCCUGCUAGAGUAAGGAAGAGGGAAGUGGAAUUCCUGGUGUAGAGGUGAAAUUCGUAGAUAUCAGGAGGAACACCGGUGGCGAAGGCGACUUCCUGGUCCUAUACUGACGCUGAGACGCGAGAGCGUGGGGAGCAAACAG
rnacentral:rRNA from 1 species